AACGAACGCUGGCGGCAGGCUUAACACAUGCAAGUCGAACGCCCCGCGAGGGGAGUGGCGGACGGGUGAGUUGGGCGUGGGAUCGUUCCUUUUGGUUCGGAACGACUCCGGCAAACUGGAGCUAAUACAAGAAUAGCCCUAACGGGGGAAGGUUUAUCGUCUUACGAUCGGCCUGCGUCUGAUUUGCUUGGUGGUGAGGUAACGGCUCACCAAGGCGACGAUAAGUAGCUGGUCUGAGAGGAUGAGCAUCCACACUGGGACUGAGACACGGCCCAGACGCCUACGGAAGGCAGCAGUGGGGAAUAUUAGACAAUGGGCGCAGGCCUGAUCCAGCCAUGCCGCGUGAGUGAUGAAGGCCUUAGGGUUGUAAAGCUCUUUUGUCCGGGAAGAGAAUGACGGUACCGGAAGAAUAAGCCCCGGCUAACUUCGUG
rnacentral:rRNA from 1 species